UACGUAGGUGGCGAGCGUUGUCCGGAUUUACUGGGCGUAAAGGGAGCGUAGGCGGGCUUUUAAGUGAGAUGUGAAAUACUCGGGCUCAACUUGAGUGCUGCAUUUCAAACUGGAAGUCUAGAGUGCAGGAGAGGAGAAUGGAAUUCCUAGUGUAGCGGUGAAAUGCGUAGAGAUUAGGAAGAACACCAGUGGCGAAGGCGAUUCUCUGGACUGUAACUGACGCUGAGGUUCGAAAGCGUGGGUAGCAAACAGG
rnacentral:rRNA from 1 species